GUCAAUUCAUUUGAGUUUCACCGUUGCCGGCGUACUCCCCAGGUGGGAUGCUUAACGCUUUCGCCCUGCCACCCAGGCCCCAUUCGGCCCGGACAGCUGGCAUCCAUCGUUUACUGUGCGGACUACCAGGGUAUCUAAUCCUGUUCGAUCCCCGCACUUUCGUGCCUCAGCGUCAGUAGGGCGCCGGAAGGCUGCCUUCGCAAUCGGGGUUCUGCGUGAUAUCUAUGCAUUUCACCGCUACACCACGCAUUCCGCGUACUUCUCGCCCACUCAAGGCACCCAGUUUCAACGGCUCGACGAGGUUGAGCCCCGCAAUUUUACCGCUGACUUAAGCGUCCGCCUACGCACCCUUUAAACCCAAUAAAUCCGGAUAACGCUCGCAUCCUCCGUAUUACCGCGG
rnacentral:misc_RNA from 1 species